AGAUCAUGAUGUCGACAAUUCCUUAGUAAAUCUUUAUAUAUUUCCCAAGCCUCAUAUAGGGAUUCUCCUACUUGUUGUUCAAAGUUGGCUAUGGCUUUCUUCAACUU